rnacentral:rRNA from 1 species
AACGAACGCUGGCGGCAUGCCUAACACAUGCAAGUCGAACGAGAACUUCGGGUCUAGUGGCGCACGGGUGCGUACCGCGUGGGAACCUGCCCUUAGGUUCGGAAUAACUCCCCGAAAGGGGUGCUAAUACCGGAUAAUGUCUUCGGACCAAAGAUUUAUCGCCUUUGGAUGGGCCCGCGUUGGAUUAGCUAGUUGGUAGGGUAAAAGCCUACCAAGGCGACGAUCCAUAGCUGGUCUGAGAGGAUGAUCAGCCACACUGGGACUGAGACACGGCCCAGACUCCUACGGGAGGCAGCAGUGGGGAAUAUUGGACAAUGGGCGAAAGCCUGAGCCAGCAAUGCCGCGUGAGUGGUGAAGGCCUGAGGGUUGUAAAGCUCUUUUACCCGGGAGGAUAAUGACAGUACCGGGAGAAUAAGCUCCGGCUAACUCCGUG